AAGUAGAAUUAAUAGAACUUGGAAUUAAUUUGAGAUAGCAGAAAAGACAAGGGAAGAGUCAAGAAUAACAGCAUGGUAGAUAAUUUGGAGGAUAGAUGUGCUAUUUUGAUCUCAUGAAGAACAAUUAGAGCCCCCAAGUUGGGGUGACAAAGCAUACCUUAAGUGGCAAAACAGUGGGAAGAAGGAAAGUCUGGACAGUGGCAGUCAGGAUGACAGAGUAUGGCCCUGUUUAUUGGGAGGCCUGAGUGGAGUGGCCAGCACUGCAAAGGAUAAAAACUCAGGUUAG
rnacentral:lncRNA from 1 species